rnacentral:rRNA from 1 species
CCUACGGGUGGCUGCAGUGGGGGAUAUUGCACAAUGGGGGAAACCCUGAUGCAGCGACGCCGCGUGGGUGAAGCAGUAUUUCGGUAUGUAAAGCCCUAUCAGCAGGGAAGAACGAAGACGGUACCUGACUACGAAGCCCCGGCUAACUACGGUCCAGCAGCCGCGGUAAUACGCGGGGGGCCAGCGUUAUCCGGAUGCACUGGGCGUAAAGGGUGCGUAGGCGGCCGUGGAAGACAGGGGUGAAACCGCGGGGCCCAACCCCGGGAAAGCUGGAGGAACUGGCAGGCGAGAGUGCGGAAGGGGCAGGCGGAAUUCCGGGUGUAGCGGUGAAAUGCGUAGAUAUAAGGAGGAACACCGGGGGCGAAGGCG